AGCAGCGCGAGGCCUCGCGAUCAGCGCAGCCCUUGUUCUGCUGCUCUGCUCCCAGCGCGGGCUCCUCACUGGAGAGUGCACCACACGACACAGAGAUGUGUUAUGAUAGCACAGCGUGUACUGGUUAUGGAGCGAGCCCAGCUGAGUGCAUAGCAGUAAGGGAAGAAGAGGUCUGCAGUUCCAGAUUUCACUUCUGGCUCCUCAGAACUGGUUCAUCGGGAACAAAAAAUUGCUGCAGCUCAAAUUUCCAUCUCAUGCAUCUGCCUGGAUUGGCAGCUGUGCUUGCGGGUGAAGUUGUGAACACGUUAAGUAAAUUGGUUCAUUACCAGCAGAGGGAGCGUGGGUCAGGCUGGGUUCAGCGGGGAGUCAAGAGGCCAAAGCGGAGAUCGUCUCCCAAGGAAUUGUUGCUUUGCUGCCCAGAUGGUUUCCUAAACCCAAAUGAACCCAGAGAUAUGACACGUGCAAGGCUAGGACCACUCCUGGGCUCCCCAGCCCACAUAUCUCCUCAUCCCCUUCUUAGAAGAUGCUCCAUAAGUCAGAGUCACUAGAUGGUACUGUUGCUGUUUAAUAUUUAUGCCUCUGUGGACUGGCUGCCUGGAGAACUCACAUUUCUGCUGAGAGAUGAAGAAAGGCCUCAUAACUCACCAGGCAAACACAAGGAAGGAGCUGAGGGAGGCAGGAGCUCAGUUCUCCUGUAAUUCCAUGGUUGGAAGGAUGGCAAAGGGGUUUCACUCUGGCUGCUCUGCUUCCUGAAGGGGAAACGUAGUGAGGCUGGCCCAGCCCAUAAAGGCCCAAAACACUUGGAGACCUCCAUCUGCAGGUGGAAGCUUUGCUGGGGAGAUGCCAGCUUAAGAGGCUCAGCCUGCACAGGUUCCCCAAACCCUCAGAAAUACCCCAGUGACAUUCAUCAUGUGAAUCCCAGCACUGCAGGAAGUCAGCAACCUUCCCAUAGCAGCCAAUGGCAACAAGCAGAUCAUUGUGCUCUGCAUAGUCCCAGCCAGAAUGUGCUCCUCCCAGCCCACGUGGCUGCUACAAGAGGGGAAAGUCAGGCCAAUUAAAUCAGGCAGCAUUGAAUCCCUAAUUGACAUAAAUGAGGCAGACAGACAGCUGGGAGGGAUGGGGCAGGUGUCCUGGGUGAGAAAGGUCUGGAAUGCACCCUGGGGUCCUGCUUUGCCCUGUAAACAUCUCAGGCAGUGGUAGAGUUGAUGGGGUUGUUCCUUAAAAAAAAACAAAAAACAAACAACAAAACAAAACAAAAAAACCUACAAACAAUCCCCAAAGAUCCCUCAAAAAUGCCUUUUGUUGUGCAUGUUGCAUAAAAAGUGUUUUUGCUUGAUGCAAGUUGCAUGCAAGGCCCUGCAGCUGAAUGAUGGCAAAGUAAUUUUAAACCCUAUUUGUUUCUUUUUCCACAUGUGGGCACUGCCAGACUGGGUAUUCCCCCUCUGAUUUAUCAGGGUGUGUCCUUUCUCCUUGAGGAGACCCUUCAAAUAUCAAUUCAUGACUUUCCAAAUUAUUAAAAUCUGUGCUUCACAGGGGGAUGAGGCACAGAGCCUGAGGAGGCACUGCCACUGCACUCCAUGCAGGAAACCAGAAUUACCAGCCCACGGCACAGCCUCACCCAGGGUGUUGUCCUGAUGGGAACAAACGCUGUUGGCCAUUUUCUGGAAAAAUCUCACCUGUACCAUGCAGAGAACAGAGGGUACUUGCUGGUAUGGAGCACUCAGGGUCUACCUGUAGACAUUGGAGUGGAGAAGCCCUAGGAGUGGCAAACGGAAAGAGAGCAAAAUUUAGCAAAUAAUCAGUAACAAAAUCAUUUUCUGAUGACUUCAAGCAGAGGAGGAAGGGAUUUGCCUUGCAGCUCUGGAAAUGAUGCUCACAAAUCUGUGCUGGCGGAGGCUCCUGUAAGUGAAGUCUGAACUCAGCCCUUGUAAUUCUGUAAUUUGAAUAUCAUUUUCACAGACCUUACAAGAUGCAGAUGAAUGAGAGAUUCCUGGCUUUGAGUCAAAUGCAACAGUAAUUAAAUGUUUAUAAAACACUUUAAGCUUGUGAAAUGCUAUUAUCAUAUACAGGAAAGCAAUAGGCAAUAGAAGACUGGAGCAGAGUUUGAAGCACACAGUGAGCAGAGCAUACUCCUGCAGCUUUCUUCUACAGGUGCUAACAGAGCAUUGUGAAGAACGUUACCAUGCUCCUUUUUUUAUAACCAGAACGUCAACUAGAAUUGCUUUCUUCCAUACAAACAUGUGUGAUUCCAAAGUUUUUCCCUCUGCAAUAAAUAUUCCUGCCGAUGGGCAGCAUGCUGUUAUCAUCUUGGGAAAUGAGGAAGCGCUGCCACUUCUGAUCUCUCCCAUCGUGCCAAAGACAUUCCACCUGUUACAGGUUUCUAACACCAUCUGCUGUUUAAAAAUAAGACAGCAUUGGAAAUACCAUCACACAGAGUCUGUGCUCUUUUGAUAAGCCAGAAGCAAUGCCAGCUCAUCUAGAAGGGUUGGUGUAAUUGGCACAUUCCACUUUUGUUCCUUUAGCCCCAAACAUAUUCCAGCUUGUUCCUAAUUAGGAAGUGAAUGAUUUCUUGGGGACCCAGGGAUCAGUGAACAGCAGCCGAGAGCCAGACCCCAGCAUUCUUCCACUGCCAGACCUGACCCAAAGAAUCAUAGAAUCUUAAAAUCAUUAGAGUUGGAAGGGACCUUACAAGAACUCACAGAUGUUUUUUUUUAAGAGAGAGCCACAGGCUCUGCAGGGUGUGGGGAACUCAAAAAAAACUUUUAUUUUCUCAAAAAUACCAAUAUUUACCUCUUACUGUCUCAUGCUGCUGCUGUGUGAUGUUCCAACCAAGGAUUCUUUUACUGCUUCCUAACUGAAAGCAAUGCCAAUUUUUGUCCUAGGAAAAACAAGAGCACCUUAGACCUCAUUAAAUGUUUG
ensembl:lncRNA